GGAAGAACCAAUCGGCACGCUGGGGAGGGGCAACUCCAACGAAGCUUAACUGUGCGACAGAAACUUAGCCACCGACUUGGCCUCCACACCAUCUGUUCUUCAAUAAGAAUGAAUAAACAGUCAACGUUUUGGACCAAUACUCUUCAUCAGGACUGGAAAGGAAGAGGGAAGAAGCCAGAAUAAGAAGGUGGAAGGAGGGGAAGGAGUACAAACUGGCAGGUGAUUGAUGAUGCCAGAGAUACAGCAUAUUAACAGGACCUUGGUACCACAAGCCCGCACGGCCCAAUUAACCAACUACCUGGUACGUCUUUGGACUGAAAAAGGGAACUGCAGCAUCCAGAGGAAGCAUACGAGGUCGCAGGGAGAACGUACAGCCUCUUUACUGAAAGUGAUGGGAACCAAAUCUGGAUCACUGGCACCCCCAAAAAUGUGGAAUGUUCAUGAAUAUUUAUGAUCUUCUUUAUAUUGUUCCAGCAUUGCUGAAAUGAGCAGAAUGUGACAGUGUAGGACUUUAAAAAUAUAAAAAGCUGUAAUGAGAUGUCUCCACCUGUGGGCAAAGAGCCUCUUUAGAGAACUUAGAAAAUCAA